rnacentral:rRNA from 1 species
UACGAAGGGGGGCUAGCGUUGCUCGGAAUCACUGGGCGUAAAGCGCACGUAGGCGGAUUGUUAAGUCAGGGGGUGAAAUCCUGGAGCUCAACUCCAGAACUGCCUUUGAUACUGGCGAUCUCGAGUCCGGGAGAGGUGAGUGGAACUGCGAGUGUAGAGGUGAAAUUCGUAGAUAUUCGCAAGAACACCAGUGGCGGAAGG